rnacentral:rRNA from 1 species
AGGGGGAGUAACAUCCGGAAACGGGUGCUAAUACCGCAUAGUUUUCUUGAUCGCAUGAAUUGAGAAAGGAAAGACGGCCUUUGUGCUGUCGCUUAUGGAUGGACCCGCGGCGUAUUAGUUAGUUGGUGAGGUAACGGCUCACCAAGACGAUGAUACGUAGCCGACCUGAGAGGGUGAUCGGCCACAUUGGGACUGAGACACGGCCCAAACUCCUACGGGAGGCAGCAGUAGGGAAUCUUCCGCAAUGGACGAAAGUCUGACGGAGCAACGCCGCGUGAGUGAAGAAAAGGUUUUCGGAUCGUAAAACUCUGUUGUUAGAGAAGAACAAGUUGGAGAGUAACUGCUCCAGCCUUGACGGUAUCUGACCAGAAAGCCACGGCUAACUACGUGCCAGCCGCUGC